rnacentral:lncRNA from 1 species
AUUUUGUUUUGAACGCAUAUUGACAGCACGCUUUACUUAGUAGCCGGUUCCCAUUUGCCAUACAAUGUAGGUUCUGCUUAAUGUAACUUCUUUUUUGCUUAAGCAUUUGCAUGACUAUUAGUGCUUCAAAGUCAAUUUUUAAAAAUGCACAAGUUAUAAAUACAGAAGAAAGAGCAACCCACCAAACCUAACAAGGACCCCCGAACACUUUCAUACUAAGACUGUAAGUAGAUCUCAGUUCUGCGUUUAUUGUAAGUUGAUAAAAACAUCUGGAAGAAAAUGACUAAAACUGUUUGCAUCUUUGUAUGUAUUUAUUACUUGAUGUAAUAAAGCUUAUUUUCAUUAACAAUUUGUAUUAAAAUGUGGGUUCCUUGAAUUCUUACGUGCUGUUUUAUUUUUUUGAGACAGGGUCUUGUUUUGCCACCCAGGCUGGAGUGCAGUAAUAUAAUCUUGGCUCACCGCAGCCUCAACCUCCUGGGCUCAAGCAAUCCUCCCAUCUCAGCCUCCCUAGUGGCUGGAACUACAGGUGUGUGCCACUAUGCCUGAAUAAUUUUUAAAAGACUUUUUGUAUUGAAUGAAUGGGUGUGUGAUGGAAAAAAAAUUUUUUUUGCAGAGAUGAGGUCUCACUAUGUUGCCUAGGCUGGAUCCUGGGCUCAAGUGAUCCUUCCACCUUAGCCUCUCAAAGUACUGGGAUUAUAGGUGUGAGCUACCACGCCUGGUGUAAAGAAGUGCUAUUUUAAAUAAUCUCUCAUGAAAGUGUUUGAAAUGCUUGUUCCCCGGUGCCGUGAAGAAAUAGCACUUGAACAUAAAUUUAAUUUACUCAGCAAGGCCAUUUUUACUUCCCGCAGAAAGGGUACAUUCGCCAGCAGUUUUGCCACGAGAGUACACCGAACAAAGAGACAGGGUCAUUUGUAACCUGAUGCGUCCACCCUACUGCUGUGUCCGGUUUCCAUUGGCUGGAACGGGACCUCAUAUUCUGUAUUUGUCCUGAUUGGGAAGCAACUUAAAACUUUUUAAAAGAGGCGAAGGCAGAAGAGAACAAAGGAAGGAGAAAGUAACUUGUGGAAUGGUGAGAAAGGCAUGAGGCGAAUUCUCAGCCAUGACAAGGCUGAAGGCCAGCAGGAACAGGCUCUAGCGAAAUGGGUGCUGUGUCCCCUUCCUGCAUGUGGCAGAAAGUUGCAAAGUUUCAUGGAUUUGAAUGUGAACAUCUGUUCCCUGGACGCACUGCCAACAACGUGGUCCAACUGGUACUCAUCGUUGGAACUACCAAGUCAACUAAUUUUUUUUUUUUUUUUGAGACAGAGUCCCACUCUGUCGCCCAGGCUGGACUGCAGUGGCGCGAUCACAGCUCACUGCAGCCUUGACUUCCCCAGGGUCAGGCGAUUCUGUCACCUCAGGCUCCCUAGUAGGUGAAGACUACAGGCAGACACCACCACAUCUGAGUAAUUACUUUUUGUAGAGAUGGGGUUUCGCCAUAUUGCCCAGGCUGGUCUUGAACUCCCUAAGGUCAAGUAAUCCACCUGCUUCAGCCUCCCAAAGUUCUGGGAUUACAGGCGUGAGCCACUGCAUCCAGCCAGUCAACUUUUAAUAAGGUCCUUGUUAGGUACAGUAAGGGACAUGAGAUGAAAAAGAGCUGGACUGUCUUCUUGGAGCUUACAGGUUAGUUAGAGAAGAUAUUAAAAGACAGAUGAGAUGGG